rnacentral:rRNA from 1 species
UGCCUAACACAUGCAAGUCGAACGGGAAGCCAUCCUUCGGGGUGGUGGAGAGUGGCGCACGGGUGAGUAACGCGUGGGAACCUACCUUUUGGUACGGAACAACCAAUGGAAACGUUGGCUAAUACCGUAUACGUCCUUUUGGGUGAGAGCCUAAUUGGAGAAAGAUUUAUCGCCGAGAGAUGGGCCCGCGUCCGAUUAGUUAGUUGGUGGGGUAACGGCCUACCAAGGCUGCGAUCGGUAGCUGGUCUGAGAGGAUGAUCAGCCACACUGGGACUGAGACACGGCCCAGACUCCUACGGGAGGCAGCAGUGGGGAAUAUUGGACAAUGGGCGCAAGCCUGAUCCAGCCAUGCCGCGUGAGUGAAGAAGGCCCUAGGGUUGUAAAGCUCUUUCACCCGCGAAGAUGAUGACGGUAGCGGGAGAAGAAGCCCCGGCUAACUCCGUGCCAGCAGCCGCGGUAAUACGGAGGGGGCAAGCGUUGUUCGGAAUUACUGGGCGUAAAGGGCGCGUAGGCGGUCUGUUGCGUCAGGUGUGAAAGCCCCGGGCUCAACCUGGGAGGUGCACUUGAUACGGGCAGGCUAGAAUCCGGGAGAGGAUG